rnacentral:rRNA from 1 species
UACGAGGGGAGCUAGCGUUGUUCGGAAUUACUGGGCGUAAAGCGCGCGUAGGCGGUUUUUAAGUCAGAGGUGAAAGCCCGGGGCUCAACCCCGGAAUAGCCUUUGAAACUGGAAAACUAGAAUCUUGGAGAGGUCAGUGGAAUUCCGAGUGUAGAGGUGAAAUUCGUAGAUAUUCGGAAGAACACCAGUGGCGAAGGCGACUGACUGGACAAGUAUUGACGCUGAGGUGCGAAAGCGUGGGGAGCAAACA